UGCCCUGUGGUGUAAUGGUAGCACACCAGCCUUUGGAGCUGUGGGUUCAGGUUCGAAUCCUGACGGGGCAG
rnacentral:tRNA from 1 species